UAAGGAAUAUUGGUCAAUGGAGGCAACUCUGAACCAGCCAUGCCGCGUGCAGGAAGACUGCCCUAUGGGUUGUAAACUGCUUUUAUUCGGGAAUAAACCUUAUUACGUGUAAUAAGCUGAAUGUACCGAAGGAAUAAGGAUCGGCUAACUCCGUGCCAGCAGCCGCGGUAAUACGGAGGAUCCAAGCGUUAUCCGGAUUUAUUGGGUUUAAAGGGUGCGUAGGCGGCCUGUUAAGUCAGGGGUGAAAGACGGUAGCUCAACUAUCGCAGUGCCCUUGAUACUGAUGGGCUUGAAUGGACUAGAGGUAGGCGGAAUGAGACAAGUAGCGGUGAAAUGCAUAGAUAUGUCUCAGAACACCGAUUGCGAAGGCAGCUUACUAUGGUCUUAUUGACGCUGAGGCACGAAAGCGUGGGGAUCAAACAGG
rnacentral:rRNA from 1 species